GACGAACGCUGGCGGCGUGCCUAACACAUGCAAGUUGAGCGACGAACCAGGGAUUGCUCCGGGGCAAAGCAGCGAACGGGAAAGUAACAGGAGGGUAACCUACCCCGAUGACCGGGACAACCUGAGUAAACUCGGGCUAAUACCGGACGUGCUAACUGGACUUCGGUUCAGUGCGUAAAGGAAGCGUCGUCCUCCGUUUCGGGAGGCGCCCGCGGCCGAUUAGGUUGUUGGUGUGGUAACGGCUCACCAAGACCGCGAUUAGUAGCUGGUCUGAGAGGACGAUCAGCCACACUGGGACUGAGACACGGCCCAGACUCCUACGGGAGGCAGCAGUGGGGAAUUUUGCGCAAUGCGCGAAAGCGUGACGCAGCAACGCCGCGUGGGGGAAGAAGGCCUUCGGGUUGUAAACCACUUUCGGGAGGGACGAAGAGUCUGCUGUUAAUAGCCGUCCCGGCUGACGGUACCUCCACAAUAAGCCCCGGCUAACUACGUG
rnacentral:rRNA from 1 species